UACGUACGAGGCGAGCGUUAUCCGGAAUUACUGGGCGUAAAGCGCGCGCAGGCGGACCAUUAAGUUGGGCGUGAAAUCUCCCGGCCUAACUGGGAGGGGUCGCCCAAGACUGGUGGUCUUGAGGACAGCAGAGGUGGGUGGAAUUCCUGGUGUAGUGGUGAAAUGCGCAGAUAUCAGGAGGAACACCGGUGGCGAAGGCGGGUCUCUGGGCCGGUACCGACGCUGAGGAGCGAAAGCGUGGGGAGCGAACAGG
rnacentral:rRNA from 1 species